AUUGAACGCUGGCGGCAGGCCUAACACAUGCAAGUCGAGCGGAUGAAGGGAGCUUGCUCCUGGAUUCAGCGGCGGACGGGUGAGUAAUGCCUAGGAAUCUGCCUGGUAGUGGGGGAUAACGUCCGGAAACGGGCGCUAAUACCGCAUACGUCCUGAGGGAGAAAGUGGGGGAUCUUCGGACCUCACGCUAUCAGACGAGCCUAGGUCGGAUUAGCUAGUUGGUGGGGUAAAGGCCUACCAAGGCGACGAUCCGUAACUGGUCUGAGAGGAUGAUCAGUCACACUGGAACUGAGACACGUUCCAGACUCCUACGGGAGGCAGCAGUGGGGAAUAUUGGACAAUGGGCGAAAGCCUGAUCCAGCCAUGCCGCGUGUGUGAAGAAGGUCUUCGGAUUGUAAAGCACUUUAAGUUGGGAGGAAGGGCAGUAAGUUAAUACCUUGCUGUUUUGACGUUACCAACAGAAUAAGCACCGGCUAACUUCGUG
rnacentral:rRNA from 1 species